ACAAUGUCUUUAUCCAAGAAGA
rnacentral:snRNA from 1 species